AUUUUCGCAAUUUACAUUAAAUUUUAUACAUACUUUCACCUAUCUAGUGAGGAAAAAAUACAAAUUUAAAACAAAUUGCAAAUUACAACUAUUUUAAAUUAUAAUGCACAGCAAGGACGUAUAUUAGUUAUCCGUCCGUCUGCACAGUUUGUGAUAAAUGGGUGUCAAAAUGUAUUAAACAAAAACCCAAAGACCAGUUUCAAGAAGAAUUCUUUGCUUUUAUUGCAGAAUCGCAUAAAACAUAAUGUUGUCGUAUUUUCAAAAAGAAUUAUCAAUUUGAAAACUACUUUUCCUUUUUACCUUUCUAAAUUCAUAUAUUACGCAGAUAUAGAUGUGGUAGUUGCCGAUUGAGUCUAGAAGGUGUCAGGAUUUACACAGAGAAGACAGAAUAUGCCGUCUCUGUGACACAAACAACAUUGAUGACGAGUACCAUUACAUUAUG
rnacentral:lncRNA from 1 species